UACAUAGUUAUCUCCGCUAGUACCUUAGUCAUUGUUGACCGACUGAGAUACCACGCUGGCGAGAAGCGGUUAGGCCCAAAUGAGACGGCAAGUUCUGUGACUCCCGCCCUCUCCCUCUCUCUCGCCCUCACAAGAUGUCGGUGCAGAUAGAAAACAAGGCGCUAUGAGUGUUCUGCCCUCCCGCGCCGCUGGAAAAGAGAGGAAGUGCUGAGGAAAACUGGGCUGACUUGCGGUAAAGUAGAUGUGUAUUAUUACAGCCCCAAUGGCAAGAAGUUCCGAAGCAAGCCCCAGUUGACCCGCUACCUCGGUGACACUUGACCUUUCCUCCUUCGACUUUCGGACUGGGAAGGUCAACCCAAUGCUGGCGAGGAAGAACAAGAAGCCCCGUGGUACCCUCUUUGAUUACAGCCGUGGGAUGCGUAACGAUGCAGCUCUGGUUCCCCCCAUCCGCCAGACAGCCAACAUAUUUAAAUAGCCAGUUACAGUAGUAAAGACCCAGCCAUCCAGCAAGGUCAAGGCCGACAUGAAGCACGGGUCACAGGACAAGCCAAAGCAGUCAGUGCAGAUAGAAAACGAGGACAUAUCAAGACAUGAAGAGAGAGUGGGUCUUGCUCGACACCAGCUGGAGAAGGCAUUGAGGGAGCUGCAGCCGUAGAAAGAGAGAGAGAGAGAGAGAGAGAGAGAGAGAGAGAGAGAGAGAGAGAGAGAGAGAGAAAUACAACAAAAAAAUAUAUUACUUUUUUAUUUAUAAGUGUAAAUAGAAAUACAUUAGUACUACUUCUGCUACUACUACUACUACUACUACUACUUUCAGGACACACAUAUAUACUAGAGAAUAAGAAGAGGUGAAGAAAAUGGUGAAGAAAUUGAAAAAAAAUUGUGAAAAAUGGAAAAAUACUGAAAGAAAUUAAGGGAAAUUAUGAAAAAAUGGUGAAAAAAAUAACAAACAGUGAAAAAAUGAGAAAAAAUGAAGAAAGAGUGAAGAAAUAAAAAAAAAAGGUUGUUGUAAGAGGUACACCCUCACAAACACUGUCACACCCCCCACAAACACUGCCACAGCCUCCCAAACAUUGCUACAUCUUCCCAAACAUUGCUAUACCCUCCCAAACACUGCUACACCCUCCCAAACACUGCCACACCUUCCAAAACAUUGCCACACCUUCCCAAAACACUGUCACACUCUCCUAAACACUGCGACACCCUCCCAAACACUGCCACACCCUCCCAAACACUGCUGCACCCCUUGAAACACUACCACAACCUCCCAAACACUGCCACACCCUCCCAAAGACCCCAAAACACCCAAACAGACCUUAAACUUUUGCUACGU